AAUAUUUCGCAAUGGGGGAAACCCUGACGCAGCGACGCCGCGUGAGCGAAGAAGGCUUUCGGGUCGUAAAGCUCUGUUCUAAGGGACGAAGUCCUUAGUUGUGAAUAAUGACUAGGGGUGACGGUACCUUAGGAGAAAGCCCCGGCUAACUACGUGCCAGCAGCCGCGGUAAUACGUAGGGGGCGAGCGUUGUCCGGAAUUACUGGGCGUAAAGAGCGUGUAGGCGGGUAUUUAAGUCAGGUGUGAAAGACCGGGGCUCAACUCCGGGGUUGCACUUGAAACUGGGUAUCUUGAGGGCAGGAGAGGAAAGCGGAAUUCCUGGUGUAGCGGUGAAAUGCGUAGAUAUCAGGAGGAACACCGGUGGCGAAGGCGGCUUUCUGGACUGACCCUGACGCUGAGACGCGAAAGCGUGGGGAGCGAACA
rnacentral:rRNA from 1 species